UGUGUCCUACGGGGCGCAGCAGUGGGGAAUAUUGGGCAAUGGGCGCAAGCCUGACCCAGCAACGCCGCGUGAAGGAAGAAGGCUUUCGGGUUGUAAACUUCUUUUCUGGGGGACGAAGAAAGUGACGGUACCUGACGAAUAAGCCACGGCUAACUACGUGCCAGCAGCCGCGGUAAUACGUAGGUGGCAAGCGUUAUCCGGAUUUACUGGGUGUAAAGGGCGUGUAGGCGGGACUGCAAGUCAGUUGAGA
rnacentral:rRNA from 1 species